GCUAACUACGUGCCAGCAGCCGCGGUAAUACGUAGGUGGCAAGCGUUGUCCGGAUUUAUUGGGCGUAAAGCGAGCGCAGGCGGAAAAAUAAGUCUGAUGUGAAAGCCCUCGGCUUAACCGAGGAACUGCAUCGGAAACUGUUUUUCUUGAGUGCAGAAGAGGAGAGUGGAACUCCAUGUGUAGCGGUGGAAUGCGUAGAUAUAUGGAAGAACACCAGUGGCGAAGGCGGCUCUCUGGUCUGCAACUGACGCUGAGGCUCGAAAGCAUGGGUAGCGAACAGGAUUAGAUACCCCGGUAGUC
rnacentral:rRNA from 1 species